rnacentral:lncRNA from 1 species
CUUGGGCUAAUUUGGGGCAAGGCGACUCCAAGCUCUAUGUUGGGAGUCCGUAUGAGUAUACACCAGAAUCAUUAGCCACUUAGAUUCAGAGCAGUUUCAACUCCAAGAUAAGAUCAAUAGAGAUCUUAGGAAUCAUCGAAGAGUCUAUACUACUUAGAAUCGAAAAGGCCAAACCAUAAUUGAUAAUCCUUCGAAAUAUAAGCUCGACCAAAAAAUAAAAAUAAAAAAAAUAAAAAAAAUCAUCAUGAUGAAAAUUGAUUUAAUGUAGAAUGUCCCGUGGAGCAAUAUACAAGCCAAUCACCAAAUUCAGGCUACACAUUGGUGUUAUGAUUGCUUCAUUACAAAUGGUGACAUCCCAUUGUCUCGUAUGCGGACUUUUUCCAUAUUGGAAACAAAAGAUUUCGAAAAACACACACUUUGCUCCACACACAAAAAAACCAAGAUCUUCGGUACCUCUUCGUUAUUGUGUGUUUUUUGCACAAUUCUUAGAUAUAUCCUCAGCCAGCUUUCCUUAGUAGACAGAAGUACAGAUUCUCCCAAGUCUAUAGCUCGAAUAUGUACAGUAGAAGGGAAUGAGUGAGAAAACAGUAGCUAAUAGUGCACCUUCUCGUCAUUACCUAAGUUGAGGCUCUUUAUACCCUUGAGAUUGGAUUUGAAGUCCUUUAUAGUUCUGGUAGAAGAUGCGAGUUUUUGAUCCAAUGAGACUAGUGGUGAGAUUUGCCGAAGUGUUCCUGGGCUUGCAAUAUUCUCGGAAGCCAACAGAUCACGACUACUAGAGAUGGCAGGUCGCCUUGAAGAUCCAAUGUUAGAACUAGAUAUCUACAAAAAGCAUUAGCCAGUGUAACAUGAACUUAUGAACAAAAUAAGCAUAAUCUCAGUGAAAACCGAGCAAUUAUCAAACAAACAUGGAGCCAGUCAGAACCAGUGAAGAUUUCACAUUUCGAUUCACAAUCUACGGGCUAACCCCUUCAAAUCUCUAAAAUGGGACCUCUUUGAGAAACUUAGAAAUUUUAACAAAAUCAAAGACUCUGGGCCUUUUUCCAGUUAAAUCCCUUUUCACUUUCUUCAAUCGAGCAUUGCAAGAAUUUAUCAUUCAUUUGUAACAUGCUAUGAGUCAGCUGAUAAUGCUCCAUUUCAGUAGACGACAUGGCAUACACUCGCGGACUUCAAAGUAGAAAAAGAAUGGCAUGGACCUAGGAUGCACCGACACCCUUCGUGUCGAGAAGUGUUGGACUUUAACACGUGUUGAAUACUCUAGGUAGUGAGUUCAAUUUUUUUAGAUCUAUACGGUUAGGCACAUUUCCGAUGCAUUGCAAACAUGCCGGAACAUACAUUGUCUUGGACACCGAUAGGUGACGUGUCCAUAUUAUUUUUAGAUUUUCUACAAUUGGAUACAUUACUGACAUAAUAAAACAUACAUUCUCGAUGCUUUUUGAAUAUACCAACGACAUGCUCGAAUUAAAGAAAAAUAAAUAUUUAGUUUACAAUGUAAAAAUAAAAAAAUGAAAAAUAAUAUAAUUAAUAUUAUUGUAAUUUGACUAUCGGGGACGUGACAAUAUUUUUCCUUUAUUUUUUUUUUUAAAUUACAUUCCAUGUUGUGUGCAAUACAUGUCCAAGUCACUUCCAACACUUGUGUCCAUGUCGUUGCUUUCUAGACAUCAACCAUUUCCCUUGUUUGUUUGGGUAAGAUUUUUCUUGGGGAAAAAUAUUUUUGUUUUAGGACAAUAUGUAGUUAUAAAAUAGGGAAAAGAUGUUGGACCACGUGACAAAUGAUUUUUUCUUAUUUUAAGAAUGUGAGCUUGAAAAUUGGUUUGGAGAAAAGUGAUUUUUGAAAAAUUUACCCCCAUACAAACUCCAAAUAAGCUAAAUUUCCAAAUUGCUCAUAAUAACUUAAAAAAGGUGUUACUUGAAU